rnacentral:rRNA from 1 species
UACGAAGGGGGCUAGCGUUGUUCGGAUUAACUGGGCGUAAAGGGUGCGUAGGCGGGUUUUUAAGUCAGGGGUGAAAUCCCGAGGCUCAACCUCGGAACUGCCUUUGAUACUGGAAAUCUUGAGUCUGGGAGAGGUGAGUGGAACUGCGAGUGUAGAGGUGAAAUUCGUAGAUAUUCGCAAGAACACCGGUGGCGAAGGCGGCUCACUGGCCCGGAACUGACGCUGAGGCACGAAAGCGUGGGGGAGCAAACAGG